UUGUUCUUACUCUUGAGAGCGCUUCAGAUGAAUAUUAAAUUUAAUAUCAUUUUUGUUAUGAAAUACUAAAUUAAAUUAAACUGCAGGGAUUAAAACCGGUAAAAACGGAAAAUCGCUUUUAUUUUAGUAAUGCUGGAAGCGCUUAUUGGAUACCGAUAUUUGUUAUGUCAAUAAUGUUUGAGUCCAGCCAAACGUUUUUUGCUGUGUUUCUUAUUGUUGGUAUGUUUGUGUUGUCGUCUUAUGGCGCAGUAUAUUGGUUCCAGGGAUGAACUAUCAAGAGCACAAUAUGACUAGCUCAUUCAGUUUUGGUUUCUUACCAAUUCUAAAACGGACCAUUAAAGAUUUUACCCGAGACCUUUGUUCGGCAUGUGUAUAAUGCGAGAAUAGUAAAAAGUUGCAAAAAUAAUAACACACAAUAAUUGGUGUAAACUAUACAACCAAGUAUUGUCUAUAAUGUACGCAAUAUCUACAAUAAAAUAAAUCAUGCACAAUAAUUAUUUUCAUUGUCUAAAUUUGUAUUCAUAUUGAUUGUUCAUAAUCAUUGACUACCCAAUACAUAGAUUAUUUAUUCAACUAUCAUCCAUUUUAUAUACAUAUAAGUGAUAUAAACUACUUAUAAAUAAGAAUUGCCUUACUGUGUUACUCUAUCUUUCUCUGCCAAAACUACUGAAGUGAUUAGAACAAGGUUUUUACUGUUGGAUAGUUUGAUUCUCCUGAAGUUACCGAUAACGAAGACCAGUAGUUUAAACUUUUAAAGAACCCGGAUUAUCAUCAAAGUUAGGGUUUCCAAAUUUCCAAAUUCAAAAUACGGAAUUUAAAAAAAUGUCUAUUUUCCGAAUUAAAAACAUUUUUGCCUCAGCUUAUCACUAUUUGUAUCACAACCAUACUAUCUUUAAUCGUGGUAAUAAUUAAGUUAAGAAUUAAUUAAUGAUAAAGUUAUCUAUCAAUUUUGUUAUCAUUAUUUUAUGAUUAUUUUGGUUAAAAUGUGUGUUUAUUUUAUUAUCUCAUUGUAAAAAAUACUUAUUAUAUCGUUAAUUUUUCGGAAACCAGGAAAUUUUAAUGUCCCGAAGAGAGCUGUCAGGAAUUCAAAAUGUCAUCAAUUUUAUUUUAUAUAUAACCUUAAAUUUAAAUUCGAGCUAAGGAUAUUUUCUCAUACAUAAAAAAAAUAUGUAACCGAUAAGAUAAGACUAUAAGAGCAUAUAGACUUGUAAUUAUAAAUUCGUUAUAACUAAACAAAUAUAUUAUAUUUUCAA